UACGUAGGGACCAAGCGUUGUUCGGAUUUACUGGGCGUAAAGGGCGCGUAGGCGGCAAUUCAAGUCAUCUGUGAAAUCUCCGGGCUUAACCCGGAACGGUCAGGUGAUACUGCUUUGCUAGAGUGCGGAAGGGGCAAUCGGAAUUCUUGGUGUAGCGGUGAAAUGCGUAGAUAUCAAGAGGAACACCUGAGGUGAAGACGGGUUGCUGGGCCGACACUGACGCUGAUAGCGCGAAAGCCAGGGGAGCAAACGGG
rnacentral:rRNA from 1 species